GUUAAUUUCGAAAAUCCCACCCACCCAUACUUUAUCCCACUUUUCAAAUGUAAAAUUUAGGAAGUUACUUUAUAUUUUAGCAAACCUAACCCUACUCAUUUCUUAUUCUACCCGCCUCCUUUUUUAUUUUACCUGAUUCAUUCUCUUAUUCUUUCUCUCCUCACCAUAAUGGAAAACUCCAAUCAUCCAUGGCAGCAACAAUUUCUUCGCUCCCAAUACCUCCAAUUGCAACUCUAGAGUAUCAUUUUGUCAUCGGUAUCAUGGGAGAUAGGAAAAAUCAGGUUUCGUUCUCAAAUUAAAUUCAUCUCCAAUUAUUGAAAGUGUGAAGAAGACUUACUGAAGAAGAGAAAUCUAUGGUGAAUGCGGCGGCAAGCGAUGCAAUCAUGUUACAUCAUAUCGUAUAUCAUGUUACAUCAUAUCGUAUACUUGUGAAAUCAUUGUUAAUAAAUUGUAACUUUUUGAAUUGGUAGUAUCCUAGAUUUGUUUUGUCAUUGGCCUGGUGUUAUACUUGUACCCUUGUACAUAUAGGACACAAGGGUGUAUUUUUACAUAGAAAAUAUUGAUUUUUUAACUAAAUAUUAUAAAUACAAGUUUUUUUCAUCA